rnacentral:rRNA from 1 species
GACAGAGGGUGCAAACGUUGUUCGGAAUUACUGGGCGUAAAGCGCGUGUAGGCUGCUCGGAAAGUCAGAUGUGAAAGCCCUGGGCUUAACCUGGGAAGUGCAUUUGAUACUGCGUUGCUGGAGUGCGAGAGAGGAAAGUGGAAUUCCAGGUGUAGGAGUGAAAUCCGUAGAUAUCUGGAGGAAUACCGAUGGUGAAGACAACUUUCUGGCUCGUAACUGACACUGAGAUUCGAAAGCUUGGGUAGCAAACAGG